rnacentral:rRNA from 1 species
AGGGUGCGUAGGCGGUUUAUUAAGUCAGUGGUGAAAUCUCGGGGCUUAACCUCGAAAUUGCCAUUGAUACUGAUGAGCUAGAGAAUAGUUGCGGUAGGCGGAAUGUAUGGUGUAGCGGUGAAAUGCUUAGAGAUCAUACAGAACACCGAUUGCGAAGGCAGCUUACCAAACUAUAUCUGACGUUGAGGCACGAAAGCGUGGGGAGCAAACAGGAUUAGAUACCCUGGUAGUCCACGCAGUAAACGAUGAUAACUCGCUGUCGGCGAUACACAGUCGGUGGCCAAGCGAAAGCGAUAAGUUAUCCACCUGGGGAGUACGUUCGCAAGAAUGAAACUCAAAGGAAUUGACGGGGGCCCGCACAAGCGGAGGAACAUGUGGUUUAAUUCGAUGAUACGCGAGGAACCUUACCCGGGCUUGAAAGUUAGCGACGGAUCUGGAAACAGGUCUUCCCUUCGGGGCGCGAAACUAGGUGCUGCAUGGUUGUCGUCAGCUCGUGCCGUGAGGUGUCGGGUUAAGUCCCAUAACGAGCGCAACCCCUGCUGUUAGUUGCCAUCAGGUUAAGCUGGGCACUCUAGCGGGACUGCCUCUGUAAGGAGGAGGAAGGUGGGGAUGACGUCAAAUCAGCACGGCCCUUACGUCCGGGGCGACACACGUGUUACAAUGGUAGGUACAGAGGGCAGCCACCCAGCGAUGGGGAGCAAAUCUCGAAAGCCUAUCUCAGUUCGGAUUGGAGGCUGAAACUCGCCUCCAUGAAGUUGGAUUCGCUAGUAAUC